GAUCGUUUCCUUCUUCUCCCUCAACCCUCUCUCGCUCUCUUCUCUAAACAGCUAAGAAUCCCGCUAACUGAAUCUUCAACUAGGUUUCGUAAAAUUAAUUCCGGAGAUCAACAAUUCAGCCGAUUGUUUUCCUCUUCUUCGAUUAUGGUUCGUGAUUUAAUGAAAAUAUCUUCGAAGAUUAUGAUCGCGAUGAGGAUGCUCUUCAUCGAAGAUUCAUAAGGAGAGGAAUUGAUUCAGAAAAUCUGAACAAGAUAAACGGGGUCAUGAACUAUUUUUCUCGAAAGUAAAUAACUGAAACAUUUUAUUGAGAAAAAUCAAUUAGAAGCAUCAGCAGCAGAAGAUUUUAUCUCACCAUCUAUCAUCAAAACUGUCUUGGAGAAAGAAGAGAAGCUAGAAGGUGAUGCCGCUCUCUGACAUAUACCGUUGAUGAUACCAAGCGUGAGAAAAUAUUUUUUGGAGUCAAACUGGACAUUCUGUCCACAAACUGGAAAGAGGUGGGUGCCCAGGUGGAAUUGAAGAAAUGGGAAUCCUAAAGAGUGUGAUAACUGCAGCACAUGAUAAGAUUGUCUCAGUUUUUCUAAGACAGAAAGAAUAUGAUUAGGUCUGGAAAAAAAAUUAACCUUUUACCGUGUAGCUAUUGAUUUUUCCACUUCAGUAAAUCAUGCAGUUUAUCAUUUGGACUGUACCCAAGUUGAAAUGUUUAUUGUUCGUUGUUAGUGGGUGGUUCUAGGACUUCUCUACAAAUUCUUGAUUAGAAUUAUAAAUCGUGCUAAAUUAUUUGUGCUUGCCGUAUUAUCUAUUUCCCUUCUGUUGCAAUUUGCAGAUAUUGUUGGAGUGUUGGUCACAGAUCCCAAACUCGGGAGAAUCAGAUGCCCAUGAAGGUGUAUGUGAAACUCGGCGCUCGACGUGCACCGCACGUGCAUUCUACUUGUAAAUUUUAAAUCAAGUUGAAAAUAAAAAUAUGCCAAGCCAUACUUUGCAAUUAAAAAUUGUUCUGCCAGUUUUUAUUUUAAAAAAUUUAAACAAAAGCUAAAGGCAUCGUUAAGGGAACAAUAUCGAUGAUAAAACAACUAGGAGACCUGGGGAUUUCCGCAGAAGUCCUAACGAUGUUGCUGUUGGGGAUCUAGCAAUAACAUGAAAGGAAGUGAUGAGAUCGACGAAUGAUACCGGUAACUAGGUACUGAUUCCUAUGAAAGUUUGGUUUGUAAUGCAAAUGGACGAGAGCGGGGCACAAAAUUACCCGAUGUGUCGUCAACCUAAAGAUUAUUGUUAACAAGGAAAUGAGUUUCCAUAUGUGUAUACAAAAACCGUGGUGAGUGAAUAUAUUACUGAAAAGUUACCACCUAUAAAUCGAAUGUUUUCUCUCAGCAACAAAGAUAUUGGGAUGAAAUGAAGUUUCAGAAAUGGUUGCAUACU